UACGGGGGGAGCAAGCGUUGUUCGGAUUUACUGGGCGUAAAGGGCGCGUAGGCGGCCUUCUAAGUCGAACGUGAAAUCCCCGGGCUCAACCCGGGAACUGCGUCCGAUACUGGAAGGCUUGAAUCCGGGAGAGGGAUGCGGAAUUCCAGGUGUAGCGGUGAAAUGCGUAGAUAUCGGAAGGAACAUCAGUGGCGAAAGCGGCUUCCUGGUCCAGCACCGACGUUCAGGCACGAAAGCGUGGGGAGCAAACAGG
rnacentral:rRNA from 1 species